CCGCUAAACGUGAUUCCGGUUGUGAAUUAGACAAGACAGUCAAGGAAAAUACAUUCAGGGCCUGUGUGUGUGUCUGACCGGCACAAUGAAGACACUAAAGGCCAAGCUGUGGUGUCACUCAAGUGCGAUCAGGCUGGGGAGUCUGAAGGACCUGAAUGGAAAAGUGGAUCGAUAACUGACCAACAACCACCCUGAGGUGUAUAUCAG